AUUGAACGCUGGCGGCAGGCCUAACACAUGCAAGUCGAGCGAGCGGCGGACGGGUGAGUAAUGUGUGGGAAACUGCCUGAUGGAGGGGGAUAACUACUGGAAACGGGAGCUAAUACCGCAUACUACCAGAUGUGCCCAGAUGGGAUUAGCUAGUAGGUGGGGUAACGGCUCACCUAGGCGACGAGCGCUAGCUGGUCUGAGAGGAUGAACAGCCCCACUGGAAAGGAGACAGGGUCCAGAGUCCUACGGUAGGGAGCAGUGGGGAAUAUUGGACAAUGGGCGGAAUCCUUAUGCAACGAUGCCGCGUGUGUGAAGAAGGCGUUGGGGUUGGAAAGCACGUCCAGCGGGGGGGCGUUACCCGCAGAAGAAGCACCGGCUAACUCCGUGCCAGCAGCCGCGGUAAUAC
rnacentral:rRNA from 1 species